UGAACUUCCGUUUGCUGCUCAAUGGUCACUGAACUUACAAACACACCACUCCAUCCAUCACCCACUGCCCCAGCCAUUUGAACCCAUCUCACGUGGCUUGACGGCAGGUGAAGUGGCUGUCGACAGCGUCAAACUCGACCACGGUGGACACAAUUUCACAACCAAAACAUGAUCCUUCACCAUUUCCCAAUCCACGAUCUCUCAUCCCUAAUUUGAACACCCAGCCCUAGAUUGAUUUUCUUCUAAAUCCUCCCCCAAAUCGAUUCUUUAACAUCUGGCAAAAUUGGCAGAUCUUUUUUGCCUUCACAGCAACACCGGCGCAGGUCGUUUCUUCAUCUUCACCCUCAUAGCAACACCAAACUGACGGUAGGUGAAGGUUUUCAAAAGAUGGAUCCUUCGGAUAGGGAGUUGGUGUUGGAAUAUGGAAGUUACGGUAGACAACUAUUGACUAACAACAUGGAUAACAUCAAAGCUUUUACUCUAACUGCCGAAGGUGAAGGUGUAAGUGUGGAUCUAACGGAAGACUAGCAGCUCGAGACGCUAGAAAUAGAUCAAGCAUGCAAGCUUGUUGUAUGUUGAUUGCCAUUUGUUUUAGUCCACUUUGCUUGUAAUGAAGCUUUUAUAUAUGUUGAAAUGUUUCUAAUGAUCUUAUGGUGUCUUUGAAAGGAAAGAUUGUGUCGUCCAUUUGUGCACAUAGUGGAAUUGUUUCUAAUGAUGUUAUAUAUUUAUUUUUGUGUUUUCGAGAAGAUGAAUUUCCUCCAA